AAAAAAAAAAAACAAAAAAAAAAACCUCGUUUCAGCUGGAUGAAAUAAAGGGGUCACUUUUUUCAUUUCUUAUUUAUUUAUUUAUUUUUUGAGACCGAGUUUCGCUCUUGUUACCCAGGCUGGAGUGCAAUGGCGCGAUCUCAGCUCGGCGCAGCUACCCUUAGGCAUCUGCAAAACAAUCAGAGAAUCUCUUAACAAUAAAGUUGCAAGACUCUCCUUGGCCCACAUGCGAAAGAAAAGACUCAAAAUGAAAGUGAGCCUUUCGGACGUUGCGGGUCUUGCUGUUGCCCAGGCUGGACUGCAGUCGUAUGAUCAUGGCUCAUUGUAGACUCAACCUUCCAGGCUCAAGCAAGUCUCCUGUCUCAGCCUUAAGGAGUCUCUGUGUGUUGCAUUGCCUAGAGUUGGGAAAAGAGUGGCAUGGGCUCUCCCAUGGCCACCACAGCUGGCACAAUGCUGGGUCACAUGUGAAGCUCACAGCCUUCCAGAUCAGCACAUUACUGAGACUUGCCCAAGGCUUAUGGCCAGUACUGCCUGAGUGCUGCUGAUGUAUAUUGAAGAAUGAAGGGCACUUUAGUGAGAAGAUGGUGAAAUCCUGCCAGGACUCGGUUCAUCCCAUUAUACAGUGGAUUCUUUUCUGGGCCACCUAAGAGCAAAGGCCUGGAAUUGGGAGCUUCAGAAAUCUGCCUGCUUCUUCAUUUUACUGUGGUCAAGCUUGUCCACAGAUACAAGUCAAAGUCCUCUGGGUUUGUUUGUUUGUUUUCCCUUCUCCUUUCACCAACCAGAAGGAAUCUCCAUGAGCUUCAUUGCCUGGAGUUGGGAGAGUAGUGCUGCAGACACUCUCACAGUCUUCACAGCUGGUGCCACACUGAAUCAUACCCCCUUUACACUGCCUCUGAGAGUAGAACAACACCAGGGCUUGACCAAGCACUGAAGUUCCUGUGGCCUGACUGCCACUCAAAUUUAUUUGUUGUCCCAGGCCACGUUAGUCAGCUGGUAGUGAAGCCAUCUGGGACUUGGUUUUAUCUCACUGGAGAGACAGAUUUUCCUCUGGCCCAUGGUUGCUGUAGAUGGUUUUUGCUGUAGAUGCCAGCAGAAUUCUGCCCCGUAUUGUAUUCUGGUGUGACAGAGCAGCACUGAGUGCUAAUGCAAAGUCUCAUAUUCACUUUGCUCUCCCCUCCCCAAGAGCAUGCACUCUCUCUACCCUGUGCUGCUUGGAAUUCACAGAGGGGUAGUUCAGACAGUGCAAAAUUGUCCUUCCUACAUUCUUCAAUGCCUUUUUCUUUGUUAUGUUAUAACCCAGUACUAUGGUUGCUCAACUGCUUUUCCGGUUCCUGUGGAGGUGCUUUCUUGCAUGGUAUAGUUCGAUUUGCUGUUUGUGUCAGGAGCCAAACAUUGGAAUGUUCCAUUCAGCUGUGUAACUCCACUUUCUCCUGUCAUUUCCCUUUUUUAACUAACUAAGUAUGACCCCUUCAGAGUAAAAGGAGGAAAGGGUAAAAGGAAGUAUAAAGCAUACUCUCCUUUCCCUGUGAUUGAAUAUUUACCAUUUAGAAUGAUUUUCCAUAUAAUAAAGCUAUUGCCUUUCACUGCCUUCUCACCUUUUCUGAGGGAAUUAGUACUGAUUUGACUGAUGAAGUUCUAAAAAUGACUGGUGGGAAUUGGUGUUUCUGAUGUUGUUAGAUGCAGCUUCUGCAGAGCAGCUUUAUUUUGGUCUCUUCCUUCCAUGGGAAAAAUGGCUUACUUCUCUGUAGCAGUCCUAUUGUUGUAUAAGUGCAAAUGAUCUAUGUGAAAGUCUGUUUAACUUUUCAGAUGAAGUUUUAGCAAAUUUGCUUGGCCAUGAUCUAAUACCACAUUUUCUAGUCACAUGUAUCCAACAUCUAUUCUCCUAUUUAGGUAUAAAUGAGAGAGAUAAUGAUUUUUUUUUUAAUUACAGUAACUCCUCAUAGUUCCAAAUAUUGGAAAUGUUUCUACUUCUUUAAUUACAUUUAUCUUAAUUUGUUUUUAUAUAUUCCAUUUAAUUUUUAUACUAUUCACUUGUUGGCUCAAUAAACAGUUACUGAGUGAUAUGCAAAAUAGUCAUAUAUCUUCUAUUAUAGAGCUUUGACUUAUGAGGAAGAAAAGAUAAAUUUAAAUAACAUCAGAAUGUUUGUUCAUAAUUGUGAUAAAUACAGGUACAAAAAAGAAUGACUCUGAUGACUUAUACAUAGGGAACUUUAUUUGGAUUGAAUGAAUGGAUUGGGUCAGAAAUGCUUCACUGACAAAGUGACGUUUCCUGUGAAAUCUGCAGAAUGCACUGUUUUCAGAGCAACAAAAAUUACAUAGAGAUUGUUACUUCUCUUGAUCUGGGGAGUGGAGAGUGUUCCCUAUGUGUAGCACAGGGAUGGGCGAAUGCUUUUCAAUAAAGGCCAGAUAUUAAAUAUUUUUAGCUUUGUGAACCAUAUUGUCUCUGGUAGUUCUACUCAAUUCCAUCAUUGUAGCAGGGAAGGAGUAAUAGAUAAUAUGUAAGUGAAUGGAUGUGACUAUUUCCUAAAGAGUUACAAAUAGUGGUGUACUGAGUGCUGGUUGAGGCUAAUAAUAUGCUACAUUGUUUAUUUCUACUUUGCUUUUUACAGAAAACAUCUUUACCUGAAACCUUUUAAAUCAGGAAUUUACAUCUUCUUGUGGUUUGUUUGUUUUUAGGCAAAUGAAGAACUCUACAUUUCUAACUUUUAAAUUGCUCUUAUUGAUUUCUAUCUAUCUUACCAUAUGUCUUAAAAAUCUUUUAUUCCAUGUAUCUUUUUUCUUUCAGAUGUAUUAUUCUCAAGAGAAAUAUCUUGUUUUCAGUGUCUUUGUAACAGUAAUUGAUCACAAAAUUUAAUGAGACAUUGUAAAUAGAAGUGUUUUCCAAAAUGUGUCCCAUGGAAUACAGAUCCCUGGUAAUGUUACAUGAAGUUGCAUCUCAAAUAAGUUUAGAAAUGAAUCUGUCACUGAUUCCUAAAUGUCGAAGAGUAACAUUUUCUUAAUGUGCAAAGAAAAAUGAGAUAUGAAAACUAUGUGGUUAGAUUUUUAUAAAUGUAAAUGUAUUUCUUGUAAGACUUACUUUGAAGUUGUAAGUUUUCUAUAUUUCAGAGGCAAAAUGUACUUCCUUUAAGUAAAUGAUGAUAAUAGUAGGUUAUUUCAUUAAAUUACUCUAGGAAGUAUUUUACAACUCAUAAAUAAACUUUAAUUUCUGUUCCCAGUACAUAUCUCCCAUAUCUUAUAAACUAUUAAAAAAUUUAAGAUAGAAAUUUUGGGAUUGCAUUUGCCAAUGCUUUUAAUACACUGAUAUUUAACAAACUGAAGCGAAAAUACUAACUACAUGAGCUUACAUAGAUGUUCUUUUAUUCACUACUCACUUUUCUGCUUCAAGUCUUCUUUAGGCUUGUUUUCCUACUCUCUCACUUUGAAGAUAAUUUUCUUUAUUGUAUAACUAGUUUUCCCUCAAAACUGAUCAUGAAAUGAGGCACAUGUAGGUAUCAUGUAUGUACCUGACUAGAAGAAAAAAUGACAGCUUGUAAAUAGUCUGCGUUCUUUUUCAUUUACAAAAGGAAAAAUUAUAUUGAAAUGUUUCCUUUGAGCAUUUCCUAACAUGCUGUGCUGUCAUGCUAAUAUGUUUGUUCUAAGAGUCUCUUAUAAUUCAUUAACUGAUUAUUAGAUUGUUCUUUGUGACACAUUAAUAAACUUGUUUGAAACUAGGAUGAAGAAAAAGCAUACUGAUUCAAAAGAAUUGCUCUAAUAUCUUUAAUGAGUUUGGUGCACUCAUAUAUUGGAAUCAUACAAUAAAUUAAAUAAUAAUACAAAUAUUGUCUAAGUGGCCGCAUGAUCUAUUUCUAUCAUCUUGUCACCUGUCCUUUCUUCUUUGCCAUUAUUGAUAAAGAUUUUAUUUUGCUAUUGCUCCCUCAAGCCUAUCCACAGGGGUUUUUAAGCAAUUUUCAUCCAGAAAGUGGAUGAAUGAGUUGAAGACAAAUUUGAGCUUUGAGCAUUUUUCCCAUGUUGAAUCAAUUGUUCUGACUCUCACAGUGAUGAAGUGUGAGAAAUGAAUACAUUGAUUACUUAAUAAGCUCUCAACUUUUAAAUAUUUCAUUCAGUCAAGCAGUUUCAGGAUUCUAGUUUUCCCAUGUAGGCCAAUCUCUUAAUAUUGAAAUUCAUUUAUGUAUAAAUGGAUUGCAUUCCUUCCACAGAGUAUGUGUAUCUGGGCCCUUGUUACAAAUUUGUCCUUGCAAGUUUUUGCUAGCAAAAUUAAGCCAAGCUUAAUUUUGGGAAAUAAAAAGCAAAAAUAAAAGCAUAUAUAUGUUGAUAUUUAGCAAGUGUUUAAGCAAAAUUUUAUUUGAUAACUAGCUGAAGUUAAGUAACUUAAAAUUUAAAAGAAACAAUAUAAUGCUGUCUAAGUGGGAUACUAUCACACAAUAAUAAUAUAUACAAUAUAUUAUAUAUAACUCAUAGCCCUUGUUGCAGUGUUUUGUUAUGAUGUUAGGGUGCUGUAGGGCUCAGAAGGUGUCAGAAAACAAUCUCCCUCUCUGCCCUUUUGUUGACCUUUCACUUCCUCCUUAGAGCAGAUGAAAGCAGGCCUUAGAAACGAGAAAUAUAUUUUAAUCUCUUUUUGCUUCU